AUCGGAUGCUAUUGCUUGCACCUUACAGCUCGGCCGUCCUGGCGCUGGACUUCGUCCCGAAGUUCUCAUAUGUGCAAUUGUUGCGCAAUUUAUUCCAUGUGCGGUAUUGCGAAUCGAAGUGUAACAGUUUGUUGUAGCCGAUUCGACAUUUAUUUCCACAAAUCUGCAAUCAACUUUCGCUUAGUGAUUCAUCGGGAGGACUACAUCGGAUCCAAGGCUUUAGACGAUCGCAUGACAAUAUCGUAUUGAGCGGCUUCGCUGUCACGUUAAAGCCCGGUAUGUCCUGAACCACCCCACAUAGCAAAGAUCUCCCCAGGACAUCCCAAUUUGAUCGAAAUGGUCCCAGUUUGAUCCAGAGUAAAACGUUAUCCGUAUGAUUACCUGAGGAUAUCCCGUGUAACAUGUCCUGUGGAUAUCUUAUGUACGAUCUCCGCAGGACAUCCCAUUUUGAUCAAAAUGAUCCAAACGAUACAGAUCGAUAAUAAAUAAUCAUUCGUAGGA